rnacentral:rRNA from 1 species
UGGGGGAUAUUGCACAAUGGGGGAAACCCUGAUGCAGCGACGCCGCGUGGGUGAAGAAGCGCCUCGGCGCGUAAAGCCCUGUCAGCAGGGAAGAAAAUGACGGUACCUGAAGAAGAAGCCCCGGCUAACUACGUGCCAGCAGCCG